GGCUGGUCCGAUGGCAGUGGGUUAUCAGAACUUAUUAACAUUAGUGUCACUAAAGUUGGUAACAACCCCCCCACCCCACUGUUAAAUUUGACUGGCUUAAA
ensembl:misc_RNA Y_RNA Y RNA